GCCAUAUGAUGUUUUUUGUUUGAGAAGUGAGCGCUUUGCGCAGUGAUGACCUCGAUCUAUCACCCUUGACUGAUGGCU
rnacentral:snoRNA from 1 species